CCUACGGGGUGCAGCAGUGAGGAAUAUUGGUCAAUGGCCGGAAGGCUGAACCAGCCAUGCCGCGUGAAGGUCAGUGCCCUAUGGGCGUUAAACUUCUUUUGUGCGGGAGCAAUAAUGGUCACGUGUGGCCAGACGAGAGUACCGUACGAAUAAGCAUCGGCUAACUCCGUGCCAGCAGCCGCGGUAAUACGGGGGAUGCAAGCGUUAUCCGGAUUUAUUGGGUUUAAAGGGUGCGUAGGCUGGUAGGUAAGUCAGCGGUGAAAUGCCCCCGCUCAACGGGGUGAAGUGCCAUUGAUACUGCCUUGCUGGAAUGCGGAUGCCGUGGGAGGAAUGUGUGGUGUAGCGGUGAAAGGCAUAGAUAUCACACAGAACACCGAUUGCGAAGGCAUCUCACGAAUCCGCGAUUGACGCUGAUGCACGAAAGCGUGGGUAUCAAACAGGAUUAGAUACCCUUGUAGUC
rnacentral:rRNA from 1 species